UGACUUUAGGUGGAAAGAAGGGAGAAGCCAAGUAUUUUUCAGUGAAGACGAGAACAAUUGUCUCUGUAUUUGUCAAAAGAGAUGGUUUUGCAGGUGCAGGGUACUUCAUUGAGACUGUAUUCUAGAUGAACAGGAAACUGAAGAAAUGGGUGUCAUUCCAGAUUCUUGGACACUUCAGAUGACUCCUACUGGACAUUCUCAGGUAGACCAGCAACAGGAGCUCUUGUGACCAGGCCAAUUGCAAAUGAAGUCAGUUGUUAACCAAUGCCAACGAAAACAAUGACGUGGAAGGACAUAGAGAUUGUGAAGUACUGAACCUAGAAUGCAGUGUGACUGUUUAGUGUCCACACCUGGUGUAGAUUUCUGUAGGCUACCGUUUGCUUUUGGUCAGCUGUAGUUUAGGAGACAGAUGCUUUGCCUAAUGCUGAAGAAACUGUUCCGCACUGUCAUUGAGCUAAGUAAGGGAUCUGACGUAUUUGACUUGCAAAAAGUAUAUGGCACGGUUAAUCAAUGUAUUUAGAAAGAUUGGGAAGACUAUGACAGAACGGAUUUGGUGGAGGUAAUUUUUGUUUUGUCUUAUAGCACUUAGUGUCACUGUUCUGCAGUAUUUGUGCAUUCUGGCUCCCACGGUUAUUUAGCAUUGCUCUUUCCUGCUUAGUGCGUCCAAGGGAGGUGCUUGGGUUGCCCAGGAAGAUGUUGGUGUUU